CCCUGGUUAGCUCACUUGGUAAAGCGCUCCACUAAAAAUGGAGAGGUCCCGGGGUUCGAUACCCGGACGAGGCG
rnacentral:tRNA from 1 species